rnacentral:lncRNA from 1 species
AUGACCGCUGGUGAGACUUCCCAGCACUCUUUUCCCUGCUACGGCAGCCAUGGCGCUGUGUUCCCCGGUUGUGACGUUUCAAGAGAGAAGAUGGGAACUUUUCCAGGAAGUCUAAACCAAGUUAGAAAAAAUCUCAUCACACAAGACCUAGAAGCCUCCAGUUGUGGAACUCUCCAGUCCACAAGCCCAAUUCCAAUAGCAGAUUGAAGGGUCUGGAAAGAAAAAGAGGAAGAUGCCGUGGUAAUCAACCAGGGGACCCCUAGAGAUACCGUACUUGUAACCAGUCAGAAUCCACCAUCCCCCAUGGCAGUGUGCUUAUGUAUUAUUUAUCUCACUUUUUAAGGUGGGAGAACCUGUCUAGUCUGUAAUACUAUUUGAAAUCACCUUUGGUAUGCAUCCUCCUUUAUUAAAGGUGCUUAUAUGUUGACAUCCUGCUUUCUCUGUUUACAUUUCCUUGACUUUCAGUCUUCAAGAGAAUACAUGAAAACCUAAAAUAUCACCAUCACAGACUUCAAGGCAAGUUUUAAGACAGAAACGCUUGAUUUAAUUUGGUGUAUUACAUCUAUUUAAUGGAUGAGAAACAUGUUCCUUAGAUGGAAUGAGUUGAAGAAAGAAAUCAAUCAGGAUUGAUGAAUAAACCAGAUUGCCUUCCAGGUCUUUCCAAGUUACUGGAGCCACACUGUGGCUUUGUUUGGCUUAGAGGAAAUUCCCACUACGUCAGCAGAAACACAUAGAAUGAUAACACUAAACAGAACUUUAAAAAAAAAUCUGCAAUUGUGUUUAUUAUCUCAAAAUUCAAAGUAUCUAAUUUGGAAAUUUUUUUAUAAUUGUGUAUACAUGUACACACAAGAGAGGAAAGUGAUACAGUGAUACAAACAGAUCAUUAGUACUCCAGAGAGGUGGGACAUUGAAGAUAAAUUAAAGAAGCCUUUACUAAAGUAAAACAACUUGGCUGAAGUCUCACCAUAAGAGAGAUCCAUGGAAUCAAUGCUAAAGUCUCAGCAACAGCCUGCAAGAAUUAAGGAAAAUACUCUGCUGAGAUACACACCAUGUGCUAAGACUACUGUCUGAAGCUAUACAGUACACACAAGCUAGCUUCUUUUUUUACCCAUGUGAUGCUACAUUUGACAGGGGAAGAUAGUAGUUUGAGUAAGGCAUUAAUUGCUUUACUAAAGCGGUAAAAUAGAAUUUCGAAUAUAUGAGUUACUUAACUUUUACACCAGAUUAUCAUGUACAGUCUGGCCAGUCUGCAGUGUGUUCUGUAACACUCCAUUUUUAACCUGCUUCUCUUCCUUACGCUUCAUUAAACACAAAUGCCUGCAGAGGAUGUGUACUUCUUUUAAAUGCAUGGAACAAACCAGGUAUAAAAGAGAGAUGACCAGCUACUUAUGUUGCAACUAAAGAUGAUAGGCCAUCUUGCAUUGUCUUUUAACACUAAACAAUGCCUGCCUGUCUUCACACUGUACAUAUGAGGCAGCUAAUUUUAGAUUCUCUGCUUCUACACACUCAUGCUGUGAAAAUGUAAGCACACCCUCAGCUUUUAACUGUCACUUGUAUGCUGUUGGUUGACAACUCUCCAAUCUAUUUUUUCC